rnacentral:rRNA from 1 species
GAUGAACGCUGGCGGCGUGCCUAAUACAUGCAAGUCGAGCGAACGGACGAGAAGCUUGGUUCUCUGAUGUUAGCGGCGGACGGGUGAGUAACACGUGGAUAACCUACCUAUAAGACUGGGAUAACUUCGGGAAACCGGAGCUAAUACCGGAUAAUAGUUUGAACCGCAUGGUUCAAAAGUGAAAGACGGUCUUGCUGUCACUUAUAGAUGGAUCCGCGCUGCAUUAGCUAGUUGGUAAGGUAACGGCUUACCAAGGCAACGAUGCAUAGCCGACCUGAGAGGGUGAUCGGCCACACUGGAACUGAGACACGGUCCAGACUCCUACGGGAGGCAGCAGUAGGGAAUCUUCCGCAAUGGGCGAAAGCCUGACGGAGCAACGCCGCGUGAGUGAUGAAGGUCUUCGGAUCGUAAAACUCUGUUAUUAGGGAAGAACAUAUGUGUAAGUAACUGUGCACAUCUUGACGGUACCUAAUCAGAAAGCCACGGCUAACUCCGUG